UACGGGGGGAGCAAGCGUUGUUCGGAUUUACUGGGCGUAAAGGGCGCGUAGGCGGCCACUGCAAGUCGGUUGUGAAAUCUCCGGGCUUAACCCGGAAAGGUCAAUCGAUACUGCAGGGCUAGAGUGCAGAAGGGGCAACUGGAAUUCUCGGUGUAGCGGUGAAAUGCGUAGAUAUCGGGAGGAACAUCGAUGGCGAAAGCAACCGUCUGGGCCUGAACUGACACUGAGACACGAAAGCGUGGGGAGCAAACAGG
rnacentral:rRNA from 1 species